rnacentral:rRNA from 1 species
AGUGAACGCUGGCGGUAGGCCUAACACAUGCAAGUCGAACGGCAGCACAGGAGAGCUUGCUCUCUGGGUGGCGAGUGGCGGACGGGUGAGCAAUACAUCGGAAUCUACUCUGUCGUGAGGGAUAACGUAGGGAAACUUACGCUAAUACCGCAUACGACCUACGGGUGAAAGCAGGGGAUCUUCGGACCUUGCGCGAUUGAAUGAGCCGAUGUCGGAUUAGCUAGUUGGCGGGGUAAAGGCCCACCAAGGCAACGAUCCGUAGCUGGUCUGGGAGGAGGAUCAGCCACACUGGACCUGAGACACGGUCCAGACUCCUACGGGAGUCAGCAGUGGGGAAUGUUGGACAAUGGGCGCAAGCCUGAUCCAGCCAUACCGCGUGGGUGUAGAAGGCCUUCGGGUUGUAAAGCCCUUUUGUUGGGAAAGAAAUCCAGCUGGCUAAUACCCGGUUGGGAUGACGGUACCCAAAGAAUAAGCACCGGCUAACUUCGUGCCAGCAGCCGCAGUAAAAC